CUAAAAUUUAUCUAAUAGUGUUUUAAAUAUUUGUGGUAAAUCAUUCGUCAUUUAACGGAGAAGAAAAUUAAAUACAUAUCAGCAUUUGAUGGCUUUGCUAAGAACUUGCUGUUUCUGUCUUUCACUGAGGCUCGGCUGUUAUAUAAUUGCAGUUUUGCAUAUUGCAAACAAUGUUUUCGAGCUUUUCGAAUGCAAAGAGACAUUCGAUCUAUUGGGACCAGAGGAAAAUGAAGACGACGAAAACAAGGAGCAGAAGAGCAGAGUACUAACACUUUAUAUAUUGCGUGCUCUUGUGGCUGUAGUUGUCAUUAUGGUCUCUAUUGGAGUUAUUUACGCUACGACCAAG